GGCUAAACAAGAACCAGACGUGCCAGUGCCGGUUAAACAAGAAGUGAGGAUGAUCCAUAUCAAAGGCAACGACUGAAUCAACAGCAGCAGCUGCCACAACAAGAGUCGAAACAGCAACCACAGCAGCAGCUGCAGCAGCAGUCACUGGAUGAUUUUGCGUUUUAUUAGAUUUUUUUGAGGAACAUUGUGAUGAUACUUGUGACAUUGGAGUGUCACAUUAACAGUUUUGUUGGGUUUUUUCUUUAAUUAAAUAAUGUUAAAUGUCUUGAUAACAGUUUUCUAUAACUAUGCCGUGUUCUUAAAAUAUCUGAAAUAUAUCAUUGCCACAAUGCUCCUCGACAGAAA